GAUCAAGUGUCUUAAGGGCAUUUGGUGGAUGCCUUGGCAUGCACAGCCGAUGAAGGACGUGAUACGCUGCGAAAAGCCAUGGGGAGCUGCGAAUACGCUUUGNNNNNNNNNNGCUUUGAUCCAUGGAUAUCCGAAUGGGGAAACCCACCUUAGAUACUUGGAAAUUCAAACAAGCCGUACGGCUUGACCAUUCAUGCCCUCGGGCCUGUUUGGUUUCCAAGUAUCGAGACAAGGUAUCUUAUCCUGAAUACAUAGGGAUAAGAAGGGAACGCGGGGAACUGAAACAUCUAAGUACCCGUAGGAAAGGACAUCAACCGAGACUCCGUCAGUAGCGGCGAGCGAACGCGGACCAGGCCAGUGGCGAUUGGGAGACAAGCGGAACAUUCUGGAAAGGAUGGCCAUAGUGGGUGACAGCCCCGUACGCGUAAUGCAACCAAUCGUCCUCGAGUAAGGCGGGACACGUGAAAUCCUG
rnacentral:rRNA from 1 species